rnacentral:lncRNA from 1 species
GGCAUGCUUUGGUUAGAGUAUCUAAGCUUUAAAGGCUUUUGACAUAUCUCAUUAGACUGCCUUCCAGGAAGGUUUUGUCAAUUUUCAUUCCAAACAUUAGUUCCAGAAAAUUCAAGUUUCUCUGUACACCCACUGACACUGGGUAUCAUUGCUCUCUCAGACCUUCUGCUACAUGCACGCAAACAACUGUGGACUUUAUCAUUGUCAGUGCCCAGCAUCCACUCCUUUUUCUUCUGGUAACAGUAUCUCUAAUUUCCUUUGGGAACCACGCCUUCCAAACUCUCAAUUUCAGUUUGAAGGACCUGACAUAUUCCUCCAGCUCCAGGCAUAGGCAAGUGACCACUGCCUAGCUCAUCAUUGUCCCAUGGAUGCCCAGCCACAGGGAUUGGCUCAAGGAGGAGCAUGCGACCUUACCAGCCCAAUGAGAACCAACUCCUGGACUUCUCCUGGAAUAUUGAACAAGAGUUCUUUAUUCCUCCUGAGUUUACUAAACUGGUGGGAUGUAAGCCUGAAACUUCUGGAGACCACAUGGAGAGGUCCUACCUGAGAAGGAAGCCUACACAAAAGAAAACAGCCAAGGCAUGAAGAAAUGAAUGACAGCAUCUUUGGGAACAUCAUUUGAGAAUGCCCCUGGAUCUAGCUAUAUCUGAAGCAAGUCAACCUUCUUGAAUUCCUUGGUUAUAAAUAAUACUGAUGAAUAUGGAAACUUCCAGAGCAUCCCCUUAGGAGCUGCCAGAUCAGAAUUCUCUGGAUCAUUGCUAUGGAGUAAUCAGUGGUGCCCCACUCUCCCCACUCCAGGCACUUGGUAGGACUACUCUGCCCAUUCCUUCUUAUGUUCGAAAUAACUGCGAAUUGCUUUGGCCAAUGAAAUGUUGACAAGAAGAGACCUGUAUCAUUUCCAGGUAGAAGUUUUAAAAGCCUGUGUGUGGUUUGCCACCUUCUUUCUCCCCUGCCUCAGUGAACUUGGAAGUCGGGGUCUAGAUGGAUCCCCUAUUAGCUUGGUCCUUGAGUGACCACUAUGAACAGAGACCCUUGCCGACCCACAAUGGAUGUGUAACAUGAGUGAGAAAUAUGCUUUCUUUGUGUUAAGCCACUGAGAUAUAGCUGUUGAUUAUUAC